CGCAGUGUGUGGCUGGCGUUAUACAGCCCCCAGCCAUCGCCUGGAGGUCAUCCAGUGUCUGUUAUCACUCACCUUAGGUAGUCUGUGAAGGUCCAGUCAUCACUGGUGCACGUGUAUCUUACCUGUGAUCAACACCGGCAGCCACAGACUCCUGCCCAAUGAACGAACACAGUGAUCGUGAUGACAUUGACAACAACGAGCAAGUCCUCCUAGACCUAGAGUGACCUCAAGCUGGGCCAAACAUGAUGUGGAAGAAGAAAUCAGUUGUCUCCAUCAGUCGGGUUUGUGCCAUGGCAGCUUUCUCCAGCUGUCCGGCAGAGGUCCAGUCCAUGCCAUGGAGAAAUUCAGCCCCCAACAAUGAGAUGGCAUGCCAGAGAUGGAUCCGCAGCUUCUCCUCCAAUCAAUCAAUCCUUGCAAUGCCCUUUCUCUUUUCUCUCCUUCUGUACCACCAUGCUUACACAUAACUGAUCCAAGGUACUUAAACUCAUUAACCUCCUCCAUUUCUUCACCAUUCA